rnacentral:misc_RNA from 1 species
CCUUAGUCUGCCGCCAAUGGGCAAAGAGGCUAGGAGUUACGCCCCAACAGUCUAAUUCCCGAUCUCCUCGGACAAAGUGGCUCUGCAAAUCUGCGCUGUCAAGAAAUGACGAACGAGGAGCUUCUGGCAAAGCUGGAGGACUCCACGAAAGACGCCGCGCUUCACCAGCUCCAGACUCUCCACUCGAUCCUCCAACACCAAGCUGGUGUACGUUAUCUCUGGCCCUUUCUCUCAGGCUAUCAUGAGCCCAUCGACGCUGAAACUUUUCGCCGCUUAGUACCGUUGUCUAGCUACGAAGAUUACGCCGAUCACAUCAGUCGAAUGGCCAACGGAGAACCCGAUCACGAUCACCCUUUCCUCUCCGUUGACCCUCUCGUUUGUUUCUUUUACAGGUUUGUUUCUUCUACAGGUGAAAAUGUUGCCUUCACUUCUUUGACUCUUCAAGUUUUCCUCCCAUAGAGAAUUUCACGAUUUUUUUUGUUUGAAACAAAAUUUGUAGCUCUGGAACUAGUACAAUGAAGCCCAAAUUGAUACCAUACUUUGAUUCGGCUCUAUCAAAAGCUGCCUCCUACCUAGCUCACAAUGGCAGUAACGCAAUUUUUCGUAGGUUGAUUCCUCCAAGGCCUGUAGUGAAUAAGAUCCUUUGGUUUCUAUAUGCCGAUGAUUUUACGACUACAAGAGGCGGGUUUAAUGCUGUGGCUGCUUCCACGUACCCUUUGCUGAAAAUGAGUAAAGCCAAGUGGUCUGAAGCUCUCUCCUGCACUAGUCCUCCAGAAGUCAUUUCGGGUACAAAUGUUAAGAACCAAAUGUAUUGCCAUCUUCUUUGUGCACUUAGAAAUUCUGAUUUAAUAGAUGGGAUUCGUGCCCCUUAUGCUAUAGGCUUAGUUAAAGCAUUUAAUCUGCUAGAGUCCAAGUGGGGGCAACUAUGUGAUGAUCUUGAAAAUGGGUUUCCGGAUAUGCAGAUUACUGAUCCUGCAAUGAGAGAAUCUGUUGCUAAGGUUCUCAAUGGGCCUCAACCUGAUUUGUCAAAUAGACUUCGAUCCAUUUUUGAGGAAAAGAAUUGGGGUGGAAUUGUAUCUAAACUGUGGUCUAAUGUUCGUUAUGUUAAGUGUGUUACAACUGGAAGCAUGAAGCAUUAUUAUUCCAAACUCAAGUACUAUGCGGGAGAGGUUAUAAUUUUAGGUGGAGAUUACUUUGCAUCAGAAUGUCCUGUGGGUAUUAACCUGGAUACUAAACAACCUCCAGAGGCGACCCGCUUUGCUAUGCUUCCAACUGCUGCCUAUUUUGAGUUUCUGCCAUUCGAUUUGAAUGAGGGCAGUGUUGUUGGAAAAGAAACUGUGAAUUUUUCGGGUGUUGAAGUAGGGAAGACAUAUGAGGUGGUUGUUACUACUUACAGAGGAUUUUAUCGUUACCGCUUGGGUGACAUUGUUAGAGUUGUUGGUUUUCAUAAUUCAUCUCCAGAAGUGGAGUUCGUGAUGAGAGCUCCUAACAAUGCCUAUGAGGUAAUAACAGAGAGGGAUUUGAUGUCUGCUGUGGAGAGUUUUCAGCUUGUUAUGAGAAAUGCUAUUGCAGCAGAGAUUGUGGAGUUCGCAAGUUUCUUGGAUUUGGAAUUGAGUCCAAAGCAAUUGAAGAUUUUUUUAGAAGUUAAAGAGGGAUGCGGGCUUCUGCAGGAGGAGAAAUUGCAAGAAUCAGUUGAGUCUCUCAAGUGGUGUUGUUCCUCUCUUGAGAAGGGUUUGGGAGGUAUAUACAAGGUGCAGAGAGAUAGGGGUGAAAUAGGUCCUCUGUUGGUAUAUAUUGUAAAGCCUGGUAGCUUUGAUAGGAUAUUGCAAAUGGCAGUGGAGAAUGGAGCACCAGCUAGUCAAUAUAAGCCACCGAAGAUUAUUAGAAACAGCAGAGUUAUUGGUGUUAUGGAAUCAUCUGCUCUUGUGACUGUAUGCUUGGACUCAUUGGAUGGAUUUGAUCCCAACUAAUGAACCAAAGAGGUUUGCAAAGCCUGCAUGCCUUCAAGCUUCUACUGGUGAUUGAAAGAUGCUUGUCAAUCUUAUCUUACCAACAAAUAAUACAUGAUCAAAGUUGUAUCAAAUUAGAGUGUAAUAGUAAGUGAACUAAUAAUUUUUUGAUGUUAAUGCAGUUUUGUAUGCACAUCCAAG